rnacentral:rRNA from 1 species
UACAGAGGGGCCAGCGUUAUUCGGAAUUAUUGGGCGUAAAGGGCGCGUAGGCGGCCAUGCGUGUCUUCCGUGAAAUCCCUCGGCUUAACUGAGGACGUGCGGAAGAAACUGCAAGGGCUCGAGUCCGGGAGAGGGGGUGGAAUUCCCAGUGUAGCGGUGAAAUGCGUAGAUAUUGGGAGGAACACCGGUGGCGAAGGCGGCCCCCUGGACCGGUACU